GGCGACAGAGCGAGACUCUGCCUCAAAAAAAAAUAAUAAUAAUAACGUGUUUAACUUUACUUCUUCAUUUUUUGCUUAAAGUUUGAUUAUAUAAAACGUAAAAUUUUUUCAAGAGUUCUGCAUCGCAGGACAUUAAACAGUAGAAAUAUCUGUUCCUUCACAGAUUCAAGUUAUAUAAAUUAAAUCUGUAAAUUUAUUCAAUAUGGAAAGCUAGAUGAUGAAAUAAAUUUGAAAAGGACCCAGUAGAGCAAUACUGCAUUGCUUAUGGAUUAUUAGUUACUUUCAGGAUCUAAACCAAGAUUCUAAAUAUUUAGACUGCUUUCAUUGUAUUUUAUACUUAAAUAUCUCUCUAUCUAUACUGAGUCAAGCUACUGGACCAAAAUGUCUGAUUUAGGGAAGCAUUUCAUUUUAUAGCAAAAGUUUUUCCAUCUACAGUUACCAUCUACAAUGGAAUUUACAUUACGGUGCGGACAAAAACCUCCUGGUUCCUUUUGAACAAUGUGCAAUAAAUUCAUUAUGUCAACCCCAUGGUAAGUCAAACAGGUAUCAAAAAACAUGGAACAAUUACACAUAGUUCAGUAAAGUAAAAUACUAGUUUUUCUAAUGUAAACAUUAAGCAGUGAAAUAAAACGUAUCAGCUAUAGUUGACUUGGUUUCAGGAAAACCACAUUUGAAAAUUACAUUAUCUUCCUCAUGUCAUCCGUAGUCAUUGACAAGAUUUUGUGGGCCACCAUGCUGUGAGCUGUGUGGAUGUAGCAGUAAAUGAACGAAGGCAAACUUCCUCGCACUGGUCAUGAACUGUGGUCCCCACUCUUUCCCAUCUUCCAGUCUACCUAAACCAUCUGCCAAGGAGUCCAGGAGAAGUCAUGCACAGCAGUGCCUCAGCAGGCAGGUCCACCAACCUGGUCCCAGCUGUGGACCUGAAAAUUACCCUGUGCCUUGGCAUCAGUCCCCAUCAGCUGUGGUUCCACGUUAAUUCUGCUCCCACGAGGACCCAGAGACAGACUCACCCAUCUGAAACACCCAGAGGCUUGCAGAGGGUGUUGUUCCACAGCAGAUGUUGACGGGACCCUCUCUUGGCUCUAGGCCCUCUCAGCUGUGACCCAGGAGCCCUCUUACCAACACAGGGGCCUGCUGGGAGACUCGCCGGUCUAGGCCACCCAGGAUAGGGUUGCUGGCCUCCAUCCCAUUGCAGAGCCUGAACAAGCCGUGAAUGCUGACUCCAGCCCCACUCUACUGCCACCCAGGAGAAGUUCCAGUCACAUAGGCAACUGCUGGAGUCUCACCCACCAGUGCCCCUGGGUGGAGCUUAAUGAACUUGAACCCUUGCAGAUCCUGACACAGCCCUGGGGCUUAGGUCUAGCCCUUCCUUCCAGGCUAUGGUCUGGGAGAGUUCUGCCCAGCCAGGGUUCUGCCAGGAGACACACCAUUCCGUCCCCGGAGUAGGCUUGCCAACCUCUGUCCUACGGUAGAUCCUCAAAGGACCCUGGACCUUGGUCCUGGCCCCUCCUGCCUGCAGACUGAGAAUGGUUCUGUCCACCUGGGGACUCUAGAGGCAUGCAUCCAGCAGUGCCCCUGCAGGCUGACUUCUGACGUUGGUCCACGGUGGGUCUCCUCAAAUGGCUCUUCUCAGCUAUGACCCGCGAGCAGGCCUGCGCACCCAGGAACCUGCUGGGAGAUACGCCUGUCUGCGCUUCCCCAUCCCCACCUUUUUUUUUUAUUUAAAAAAAAUUGUUUUCUUUUUUUUUUUUUUAAGUAAGAAGAUUCUUGUUAUGUUGCCCAAACUGGUCUUAAACACCUGGGCUCAAGAGAUCCUCCCACCUUGUCCUUCUAAAAUGCUGGGAUCAAAGGUAUGAGCCACCACGGCCAACUUUUAACUUUUUUAUUGUGGUAAAACACACACAACAUAAAAUGUACCAUUAGUGACAUUUAGUGAAUUCCCCAUAUUGUACAACCAUCACCUCUAUAUAGUCCCAGAACAUUUUCAUCACCCCAAAGGGAAGCCCCCUACACAUUAGCAGGCACUCCUCAUUACCCCUCCCCUAAACCACCAAUCUGCUUUCGAUGGAUUUGCCAAUUCUGACAUUCCAUAUCAACGGAGUCAUACAACAUGUGGCCUUUGUGUCUGACUACUUUCACUAGAAUAAUGUUUUCAAGUAACCUACUGGAAUUUUUAUGUAUGUGGCAGGAAUUACAGCAUACUUUGAUCGGGGAGGCUGUGACCUCGCAUGCUGUGAUGGUAACCAAAUGGUGACAAGGCCAAGGGGGCCACUAUUUAAAUACAGCGGAAGGAUGCCCCCACAGGGAGCUCUUCGGUACCAAGCCUGAUUUAGAGCCCAGGAUUUGUAAACAACAGGGUCAUUAGGGCUUUCAGUGAUUUAUCUCACUCUGAAUGAUUGUCUGAUCUUUAAGUUAACAAAAUAAUUUUCACAAAUAAAUGGUUGAUUAAAAAAAACA